rnacentral:rRNA from 1 species
GAUGAACGCUGGCGGCGUGCCUAAUACAUGCAAGUCGAGCGAACAGACGAGGAGCUUGCUCCUCUGACGUUAGCGGCGGACGGGUGAGUAACACGUGGAUAACCUACCUAUAAGACUGGGAUAACUUCAGGAAACCGGAGCUAAUACCGGAUAAUAUAUUGAACCGCAUGGUUCAAUAGUGAAAGACGGUUUUGCUGUCACUUAUAGAUGGAUCCGCGCCGCAUUAGCUAGUUGGUAAGGUAACGGCUUACCAAGGCAACGAUGCGUAGCCGACCUGAGAGGGUGAUCGGCCACACUGGAACUGAGACACGGUCCAGACUCCUACGGGAGGCAGCAGUAGGGAACCUUCCGCAAUGGGCGAAAGCCUGACGGAGCAACGCCGCGUGAGUGAUGAAGGUCUUCGGAUCGUAAAACUCUGUUAUUAGGGAAGAACAAAUGUGUAAGUAGCUAUGCACGUCUUGACGGUACCUAAUCAGAAAGCCACGGCUAACUACGUG